GCACCCGUAGCGCAGCUGGAUAGCGUAUCAGACUCCGACUCUGAAGGUCGUGGGUUCAAGUCCCACCGGGUGUACCA
rnacentral:tRNA from 1 species